rnacentral:rRNA from 1 species
UACGGAGGGGGCGAGCGUUUAUUCGGAAUUAUUGGGCGUAAAGGGCGCGUAGGCGGCUGUACAAGUCAAAGGUGAAAUCCCUCGGCUCAACUGAGGAACUGCCUUUGAAACUGUACGGCUUGAGGCCGGGAGGGGGUAGCGGAAUUCCCAAUGUAGCGGUGAAAUGCGUAGAUAUUGGGAGGAACACCAGUGGCGAAGGCGCUACCUGGACCGGUUCUGACGCUGAGGCGCGAAAGCGUGGGUAGCAAACAGG